CUCUGUGUUGCAGUAGUCCGGAUAAGCUGCCGUCUGUUCACGGCGCCUCCUUCUCCUCCAUUGUACCUUUUCUGCCUCUUCCUUUCCGGUGAGCGGCCAUGCAUCCUCUGUCUCUCGCUUUCUCUGUGUUGCAGUAGUCCGGAUAAGCUGCCGUCUGUUCACGGCGCCUCCUUCUCCUCCAUUGUACCUUUUCUGCCUCUUCCUUUCCGGUGAGAAAACGGUUUUCUUCUGAAGUGAUUCUUGAGACUGCUUCCUUACAUGCCAAGGAGGUGCCAUCUUUGACCUUUUUUUCCUCCCCGAACGCAUGCCUUCUGUCUUUCCACUCGAAUAAGGCCAACGAAGUGCCAUUCCUCCCUGAAUGCAUGCCUUCUGUUUUUCCUCUCGAAUAAGAUGGCCAUUGAGCCUUUACGUGUGUCUGAGGUCCAUAGCUCCCUGCCCCAAUGGACUUGUGUCAUCCAAGUUAUUGAGGUGUCUCAUCUUAAAACUAGCUAUGCAGAGCAUGCAUCCAAAAAGUAUCGUCGCUUCGUCUUUGCUGAUUCACAGGGCGUAAAGGUUUCUGUUGUUGCCUUUGAUGGUAACGUUGCUCAUAUUGAAGGUUUGUUUUUUCCUUUCAAGAGGUACUGCAUUAGUAAUGCUGCUGUUGAGAAAAUUCCCAGACCUGCUCCGCCGGGUCUGCAACACCAAGUUGCUGCUUUGAUGUUGACCUCACUGAUGAUACCAGUGUCAUGACAGCCUCUGUGUCUAGUGAAUUGGCUGAGCAAUUACUUGGAUUUACUGCAGUUGCGGCAACGGAUUCGUAUAACAAGAAUGAAGAACUCCCACUGGACAUGAUUCAUGACACGUUGAAGUCCAAGACGACAUUCAUUGCUCAGGUUAGGCCUGGAAACACCAAAGAUACUAAUUUGAGGACACCAAAGACUAUGAACUCAUUGAAGAACAGCCCCCAAGUAGUUUUCAGGUGGCCAGUCAGCUUUCUGCAGUUGAUACUCCAGAAAAAUCAUGUUCUUUUUCCAAGAGUCAACUCUGCCUUAACAGGAAGCAAGCCGUUUCUGCAACAGAAAGUCAAUCUUCUGCAAUAGAUGUUUCAGGUAAGCCGUGUAGUUCCUCCAAAACUCACAUUUGCCUUGCAAAAAAAAAAAAAAGCUCAGCGAGGAAGCCGAAGAUACUGCAUCAGAAACUUGGGAUUUCACAAGCAGCAAAAAACCAAGGAAUGCUUGAACUGCUUGCACUCGUCAGAAAGUCUUUUGUCAUUACAUUGCUGCUGUGUAAACCUAUUUAGGCUUGUACUCUUAUGCUUGAUCUAGCCUACAUGCUUUCCUCUUUUAAGCCAUCUUUUGUGUUUUAGACCUGCUGUGAAUUUAGCUGGUUUUAGGUCCUGGCUGGAUCUCUCUAGAUCUACUGUUUUGCUAUUCAGAAUGUGUUAAACUUGCUCUUUUAAUGAUGUGGUUGUGUGUUUUUUUUCCU